CAGUCGCCGCGGUAAUACGUAGGUGGCAAGCGUUGUCCGGAAUUAUUGGGCGUAAAGCGCGCGCAGGCGGCCUCUUAAGUCUGAUGUGAAAGCCCCCGGCUCAACCGGGGAGGGUCAUUGGAAACUGGGAAACUUGAGUGCAGAAGAGGAGAGUGGAAUUCCACGUGUAGCGGUGAAAUGCGUAGAGAUGUGGAGGAACACCAGUGGCGAAGGCGACUCUCUGGUCUGUAACUGACGCUGAGGAGCGAAAGCGUGGGGAGCGAACAGGAUUAGAUACCCCCGUAGUCCCUGUCUCUUAUAA
rnacentral:rRNA from 1 species